GUGACGGGUCACGUGGACGGAGCGGGCGAAAGUCACGUCUACGUCAGCGAGGUCGACCCGCUGGGCCCGUCGGCCGCAGGAGGCCUCAGGGCGGGAGACGAGGUCCUGGCUGUGAACGGGGCUGUGGUGUCGGCUCUGGACCUGGACCUGAUGCAGAGUCUCUUCAGCCCCCAGAAGCUGCAGCUACUGCUCAGGAGGGACGAGGAGCCCGCGGAGCCCCCGGCCCCCCCCCGCCCCCCCGUACCUGCUCCCCUGGACCAACACCGCUUCUGCAGACGGUUGUCCUGCUUCCUGUUUGUGACGGCGAGCUGCAGAGACGGAACGUGGAGCGGGUUCACGCUCUCUAUCAAACCUUCCCAGAAUGCCGAGCGGCAGAGACUGAUGUUCCCAGGAACCCGUACAGCCGGGAGGCCGGCCUGCAGCCCCCGAGCCCCGCCCACCUCAGUGUGUGUCAGCGUCUGCGGAAAGUCAUCCAGGAGCUGGUGGACACCGAGAAGUCCUACGUCAAGGUCAGUACUGCAGGAAUACUGCAAUACUAAUACUGCAGGAAUACUACUGCAGUUGCCCCUCCCUAUUAUUGAGGUCUAUUU
rnacentral:lncRNA from 1 species